CCUACGGGUGGCUGCAGUGAGGAAUAUUGGUCAAUGGGCGCAAGCCUGAACCAGCCAUGCCGCGUGCAGGAAGACGGUCCUAUGGAUUGUAAACUGCUUUUAUUUGGGAAUAAACCUCUUUACGUGUAGAGAGCUGAAGGUACCAAAUGAAUAAGCACCGGCUAACUCCGUGCCAGCAGCCGCGGUAAUACGGAGGGUGCAAGCGUUAUCCGGAAUCAUUGGGUUUAAAGGGUCCGCAGGCGGUCUUAUAAGUCAGUGGUGAAAGCCUACAGCUC
rnacentral:rRNA from 1 species